rnacentral:rRNA from 1 species
ACAUGCAAGUCGAGGGGCAGUUCCGACUUCGGUUGGAAGCGACCGGCGAACGGGUGAGUAACACGUUUGUAACCUACCCCUGACUGGAGGAUAGGUCCCGGAAACGGGAAUUAAUACUCCAUAAUAUUGAUCCGGGGCAUCCCGGAUGAAUUAAAGCUCCGGUGGUCAGGGACGGGCAUGCGUGACAUUAGCUUGUUGGUGGGGUAAGGGCCUACCAAGGCGACGAUCCGUAGCUGGUCUAAGAGGAUGAUCAGCCACACUGGGACUGAGACACGGCCCAGACUCCUACGGGAGGCAGCAGUGGGGAAUUUUCCGCAAUGGGGGGAACCCUGACGGAGCAACGCCGCGUGCGGGAGGAAGGCCUUCGGGUUGUAAACCGCUUUUCUCUGGGAAGAAGAACUGACGUACCAG